CCUGAUGCAGCAACGCCGCGUGAAGGAUGAAGGCCUUCGGGUUGUAAACUUCUGUCCUAGGGGAAGAAACAAAUGACAUUACCCUUGGAGGAAGCCCCGGCUAACUACGUGCCAGCAGCCGCGGUAAUACGUAGGGGGCGAGCGUUAUCCGGAAUUAUUGGGCGUAAAGAGUGCGUAGGUGGCACCUUAAGCGCAGGGUUUAAGGCAAUGGCUCAACCAUUGUUCGCCUUGCGAACUGGGGUGCUUGAGUGCAGGAGGGGAAAGUGGAAUUCCUAGUGUAGCGGUGAAAUGCGUAGAUAUUAGGAGGAACACCAGUGGCGAAGGCGACUUUCUGGACUGUUACUGACACUGAGGCACGAAAGCGUGGGGAGCAAACAGGAUUAGAUACCCUGGUAGUCCACGCCGUAAACGAUGAGCACUAGGUGUCGGGGUCGCAAGACUUCGGUGCCGCAGUUAACGCAUUAAGUGCUCCGCCUGGGGAGUACGCACGCAAGUGUAAAACUCAAAGGAAUUGACGGGGACCCGCACAAGCAGCGGAGCAUGUGGUUUAAUUCGAAGCAACGCGAAGAACCUUACCAGGGCUUGACAUCCUGCUGACAGGACCUUAACCGGUCCCUUCUUCGGACAGCAGAGACAGGUGGUGCAUGGUUGUCGUCAGCUCGUGUCGUGAGAUGUUGGGUUAAGUCCCGCAACGAGCGCAACCCUUGCCAUUAGUUGCCAUCAUUUAGUUGGGCACUCUAGUGGGACUGCCGGGGAAAACUCGGAGGAAGGUGGGGAUGACGUCAAAUCAUCAUGCCCCUUAUGUUCUGGGCUACACACGUGCUACAAUGGCCGGUACAACAGGCAGCGAACCCGUGAGGGGGAGCGAAUCCCAAAAGCCGGUCCCAGUUCGGACUGUAGGCUGCAACUCGCCUACACGAAGUUGGAGUUGCUAGUAAUCGCGGAUCAGAAUGCCGCGGUGAAUGCGUUCCCGGGUCUUGUACACACCGCCCGUCACACCAUGGAAGUUGGGGGUGCCCAAAGUCGGUUAAUUAAUCUAUCGCCUAAGGCAAAACCAAUGACUGGGGUGAAGUCGUAACAAGGUAGCCGUAUCGGAAGGUGCGGCUGGAUCA
rnacentral:rRNA from 1 species